AAUCUUCUACAAUGGGCGAAAGCCUGAUGGAGCAACGCCGCGCGAGUGAAGAAGGUUNNNUGAUCNUCAAACUCUGUUGUUAGNGACNUACAAGUAUCGAUCGAGUAGGGCUGUACCUUGACGGUACCUUUCCAGAAAUCCACGGCCAACUACCGUCCAGCAGCGGCGGUAAUACUUAGGUGGCAAGCGUCAUCCGGAAUUAUUGGGCGAAAAGCGCGCGCAGGCGGUUUCUUAAGUCUGAUGUGAAAGCCCACGGCUCAACCGUGGAGGGUCAUUGGGAACUGGAAAGCUUGAGUGCAGAAGGGGAGAGUGGAAUUCCAUGUGUAGCGGUGAAAUGCGUAGAGAUAUGGAGGAACACCAGUGGCGAAGGCGACUAUCUGGUCUGCAACUGACGCUGAGGCGCGAAAGCGUGGGGAGCGAACA
rnacentral:rRNA from 1 species